GUCUCCCUCCAAGUACUAACCGGGCCCGAUCUGAUCAUCCA
rnacentral:rRNA from 1 species